rnacentral:rRNA from 1 species
AGCAGUCGCCACGGUAAAACGAGGGGAGCUAGCGUUGUUCGGAAUUACUGGGCGUAAAGCGCGCGUAGGCGGCUUUUUAAGUCAGAGGUGAAAGCCCGGGGCUCAACCCCGGAAUUGCCUUUGAAACUGGAAAGCUAGAAUCUUGGAGAGGUCAGUGGAAUUCCGAGUGUAGAGGUGAAAUUCGUAGAUAUUCGGAAGAACACCAGUGGCGAAGGCGACUGACUGGACAAGUAUUGACGCUGAGGUGCGAAAGCGUGGGGAGCAAACAGGAUUAGAUACCCCCGUAGUCCCUGUCUCUUAUAC